rnacentral:rRNA from 1 species
UACGGAGGGUGCGAGCGUUGUCCGGAAUCAUUGGGCGUAAAGGGCGCGUAGGUGGCCCGGUCAGUCUUUGGUGAAAGCGCGGGGCUCAACCCUGCGUCGGCCAGGGAUACUGCCGCGGCUCGAGCAGUGUAGAGGCAGGCGGAAUUCCGGGUGUAGCGGUGGAAUGCGUAGAGAUCCGGAAGAACACCGGUGGCGAAGGCGGCCUGCUGGGCAGUUUAGCUGACACUGAGGCGCGACAGCGUGGGGAGCAAACAGG